rnacentral:rRNA from 1 species
GACGAACGCUGGCGGCGUGCCUAAUACAUGCAAGUAGAACGCUGAAGGAGGAGCUUGCUUCUCUGGAUGAGUUGCGAACGGGUGAGUAACGCGUAGGUAACCUGCCUGGUAGCGGGGGAUAACUAUUGGAAACGAUAGCUAAUACCGCAUAAGAGUAGAUGUUGCAUGACAUUUGCUUAAAAGGUGCAAUUGCAUCACUACCAGAUGGACCUGCGUUGUAUUAGCUAGUUGGUGGGGUAACGGCUCACCAAGGCGACGAUACAUAGCCGACCUGAGAGGGGGUUCGGCCACACUGGGGCUGCGCCACGCCCCAGCCCCCUAGGGGAGGCAGCAGUGGGGAUUCUUGGGAAAGGGACGGAUGUCUGCCCGAGCACCGCCGCGGGAGGGAAGAGGUUUUGGGGAUCGUAAAGCUCUUUUGUAAGAGAAAAAGGGGUGUGAGAGGGAAAAGUUCACACUGUGACUUUAUCUAACCAGAAAGGGCCGGCUACCUCCGU